GGGAAUUUUUUCACAAAUACAUGAAAAUUUAGGGACUAAAAUCUUCUACUUUUACAAAGAAAAAUUCUACUUGGAACCGGCUGGAGAAACUCCUUUGUAACAAGGUUGCACCUUUUGAUAAAAAAAUUUAUUUUUUCUCUUCAUUUCGUUCCCUCUCUCUCUCUCUCGCAUUCUACUUUCUCAAGAUUUGUGGCAAGGAGAUUCAAUAGUGAGCUUGCCGACGACUUCUAGGUCUAGAGUAUCAUGGUGGGUGAAGCUAGGGGGGUGGAGUGCUGGUACAGAGGUUGUCGGCGAACCGACCACAGACUGUGUUUACUAUGUUUUCAUCGACCUUUAUCGCGUCGACCUUCUCCCUCGUAGCAUCCAUUGUCUGGUUGGUUUUCUUAGCAUUAACGAAUCAAAAAAUAAUAAAAGAUAGUGCUUAAGUUAUGAAAGUUGCUUUCUCUGCUUGAGAUGAAUGGAAGGCUCCCAAAUGAUGGUUCUUUUUUUUUUUUAAAUGUAAAAGUUGAUCGAGUUCACGCAUUCAGGUGUAUAUGUUGGCAUAGGAUUUGCUGUUUCCGUCGCAAUGUAGUAUGUAUAGUGAACGGAAUCUGAAGAACUUGGCAUUUGGCAAUGCUCGAAAGUUCUAUUUUCAUGCUCCAUCAGUCUGCUCAAAAUAAAAGUAAAAGGCUAAAAUCAAGCGAUAAAAGAAGUGUCCAAGCAAAGACAGGAAUGGGUUGUGUUUGUUGUUUUCCUCUUUAAUCCUUCCAGGUCUUGAAGCAAGGGGGCAUGAGAACUCUGUUGGACCGAUCAGAAUGUGAGCAGGGAUAGGAAUCCAAUAUUGUCCCUUGUUGAGCCUGUUUGAAGGAUACCCAGAAACAAGAGUGACUUCAUCUUUAUCAAAGAUCUCUGUGGAGGAGAAUCUUGAGAUCAAAUCAGCAGAAGUAGGGCUUGGAAGCCCCAAAUGAAAAGCCAAUGCGACAGUGUCUUCAUAAUUUGCAAAUGUACUAGAGAACAAGCUUUCUUCUUUCUCCUUGAUAUUCUUGUCCACUUUCACCAAGGUGUACCUUGCCAGGAACUUGCAGACCGGGAAGAGCGUAGCAAUAAAGGUGGAGGGGAAGGAGAUUGCAGAUGUACGAAUCAAGAAAAA